UACGUAGGGGGCGAGCGUUGUCCGAAGUUACUGGGCGUAAAGCGCGCGUAGGCGGUCAAUUAAGUCUGAGGUGAAAGGUUCAGCGCUCAACGUGAACAGUGCCUUGGAUACUGGUUGACUUGAGUGUGGCAGAGGAGUAUGGAAUUCCUGGUGUAGCGGUGAAAUGCGUAGAGAUCAGGAGGAAUACCAAUGGCGAAGGCAGUACUCUGGGCUAACACUGACGCUGAGGUGCGAAAGCUAGGGGAGCGAACCGG
rnacentral:rRNA from 1 species